rnacentral:rRNA from 1 species
UACGAAGGGGGCUAGCGUUGUUCGGAUUCAUUGGGCGUAAAGGGUGCGUAGGCGGCGCGGUAAGUCGGGUGUGAAAUCUCGGGGCUUAACUCCGAAACUGCAUUCGAUACUGCCGUGCUUGAGGACUGGAGAGGAGACUGGAAUUUACGGUGUAGCGGCGAAAUGCGUAGAUAUCGUAAGGAAGACCAGUGGCGAAGGCGGGUCUCUGGACAGUUCCUGACGCUGAGGCACGAAGGCCAGGGGAGCAAACGGG